GGAGAGAUGACAGAGUGGUCGAUUGUGCCUGACUCGAAAUCAGGUGUGCGGGAAACCGUACCUAGGGUUCGAAUCCCUAUCUCUCCG
rnacentral:tRNA from 1 species